GAUGAACGCUGGCGGCGUGCUUAACACAUGCAAGUCGAACGGAAAGGCCCAAGCUUGCUUGGGUACUCGAGUGGCGAACGGGUGAGUAACACGUGGGUGAUCUGCCCUGCACUUCGGGAUAAGCCUGGGAAACUGGGUCUAAUACCGGAUAGGACCACUUCUUGGAUGUUGUGGUGGAAAGUUUUUUCGGUGUGGGAUGAGCUCGCGGCCUAUCAGCUUGUUGGUGGGGUAAUGGCCUACCAAGGCGUCGACGGGUAGCCGGCCUGAGAGGGUGUACGGCCACAUUGGGACUGAGAUACGGCCCAGACUCCUACGGGAGGCAGCAGUGGGGAAUAUUGCACAAUGGGCGCAAGCCUGAUGCAGCGACGCCGCGUGGGGGAUGACGGCCUUCGGGUUGGAAACUCCUUUCGCUAGGGACGAAGCGUUUUGUGACGGUACCUGGAGAAGAAGCACCGGCUAACUACGUG
rnacentral:rRNA from 1 species